AUUGAACGCUGGCGGCAGGCUUAACACAUGCAAGUCGAACGGUAGCAGGAGAAAGCUUGCUUUCUUGCUGACGAGUGGCGGACGGGUGAGUAAUGCUUGGGAAUCUGGCUUAUGGAGGGGGAUAACGACGGGAAACUGUUGCUAAUACCGCGUAUUAUCGGAAGAUGAAAGUGCGGGACUGAGAGGCCGCAUGCCAUAGGAUGAGUCCAAGUGGGAUUAGGUAGUUGGGGGGGUAAAGGCCUACCAAGCCUGCGAUCUCUAGCUGGGCUGAGAGGAUGACCAGCCACACUGGAACUGAGACACGCUCCAGACUCCUACAGGAGACAGCAGUGGGGAAUAUUUGCGCAAUGGGGGGAACCCUGACGCAGCCAUGCCCCCGCGAAUGAAGAAGGCCUUAGGGUUGUAAAGUUCUUUCGGUAUUUAGGAAGGGUGAUGUGUUAAUAGCACAUCAAAUUGACGUUAAAUACAGAAGAAGCACCCGGUAACUCCGUGCCAGCAGCCGCGGGAAUACGGAGGGUGCCAGCGUUAAAACGGAAUAAACUGGGGCGUAAAGGGCACCCCAGGCGGUAUUUUAAAGGAGGGGUGAAAGCCCCCGGGGUUAACCUGGGGAAUUGCUUUUUUGACUGGGGGAAACAGGGAACAUUUAAGGGAGGGGGGGAAUUUCCCCCGUUAGGGGUGAAAAAACCCAAAAGAAUUUGAGGAAAUACCCCAGGCGAAAGCCGCCCCCUUGGGAAAUUCCUGACCCCCCGUGCGAAAACGUUGGGGGCAAAACAGAAUUGAAAUCCCUUGGAGUCCAGGGGGAAAUUCCCCAUUGGGUUGCGCCCGGGGAACCCAUAGUCUUUAGGGGGCCCCCCCCGGAGGCCCCCAUUCCCCCCUUGGGGAAAACAUAGACGCCCCCCCCUUACUUUUUUUUUUAACAACUCGUCACGGGAAAACCCCGGUCAU
rnacentral:rRNA from 1 species